GAUGGGCGUGGUGACGUUCUCCUGUAAUCUGGUCAGGGUGCGGGAUUUCGUGGGACCGGGAGUUCUGGCAAAUGGGUGUUCAUGUAAUCGGGCGUCCACGCUAAGCACGGCGCCGAUAUGGAUGACCUGUCGGAGGGUGGGUUGUCCAGGUCGGCUAAGGAGGGGUGAACUGCCCCAGGGGGGAAACCAAGCAGGCAAACGUCCCCGCGUUGUGCGGUAGCGGGAUAGCGCCUGUGAAUUGUGUCCAUCUGACAGCCCGUUUGGUGAGUGAAGACCGCCUCCUUU
rnacentral:SRP_RNA from 1 species